rnacentral:rRNA from 1 species
ACGUAGGAGGCAAGCGUUAUCCGGAGUUACUGGGCGUAAAGGGCGUGCAGGCGGUUGGCUAAGUUCGUUGUGAAAGCGCCCAGGCUUAACCGGGCGAGGACAAUGAAGACUGGUCAGCUAGAGUAUGGGAGAGGAUGGUAGAAUUCCAGGUGUAGCGGUGAAAUGCGUAGAGAUCUGGAGGAAUACCGAUGGCGAAGGCAGCCAUCUGGCCUAAUACUGACGCUGAGGUACGAAAGCAUGGGGAGCAAACAG